rnacentral:rRNA from 1 species
ACGCGUUAUGUCGACCGCCUGGGGAGUACGGCAGAAAGGUUAUAACUCAAAUGAUUUGACGGGGGCCCGGACAAGCGGUGGAGCUUGUGGUUUAAUUCGAUGCAUCGCUUAGAACCUUACCUGGUCUUGACAUCCACAGAACUUUCCAGAGAUGGAUUGGUGCCUUCGGGAACUGUGAGACAGGUGCUUCAUGGCUGUCGUCAGCUAGUUUUUUGAUAUGUUGGGUUAAGUCCCGAAACGAGC